CCUUGGGAAGAUUUUACUUCUCUCCUCCAGACAUUUGGUGAGUCAUCACAAUCAGAUCCUUCCCAAAUGACACCAACGCAACCACAAGGAACAGCACCGUCUACUUCAGCACCCUCCAAAACUGACAUUGACUAUAAGAGCAUGUAUGCCAAACUCCAUUGGUCAAAGGAGCCUUUUGCAGAAAUUGAUAGCAAUGUUGACAAUUUGUCGCCAUCACACAACCUUUGAUGCAGCAGCCCAUGUGACUCCCGUGUGUCCCUUAUCCUGUAAAUAUCAGCUUUGGAUGCUUU
rnacentral:lncRNA from 1 species